CUUGAUGAUCUUAAAGGUCCCUUCCAACCUCAGCGAUUCUAUGAUUCUAUGAUUUGAAGGUCUCUUGCUUUCCAGACACCUGUGCCAGUGGGUGGAACGGGUUGCUGAAAUUGAGCAGCCUUAUUUUGGCUGUCUUUGGUGGGAGGUCUCCAUGGCGAAGAUGCUCCGAAGAUGCAUCCCAAGUAGGACCAGCCAGGUGGAUAAAGCAGAGCUGCUUAAAGAUGGGACGGCGGAGGAACAGGGAGGGAUUUUUUUUGGCGGCAGCUUGCAGAGAAGCAGGGACCUCUGGUACUGUAAUGCCUGAGCGUUUAACCCGUGCCAGUUUGUGUGAAGAAACCCCUCAAAGUCUCCUGUGCCCAUCCUGGUCCUGUGGGUUUGUUGCCCAGCAGUGGAGCUGUGGAGGAAUUAGAUAUAAACCCCAAAGUGCUCUUGCUAGUAACCUGGAUCAGUGGGGAAGCGAGGAGCAAUUUUGUUAUUUUUGAACCGUCUUCUGCAGUCACACGGGAAAAGCUUUUCUCACCAUGCAGCAAGGAAAUGUAGGAAAUGUUCCUUUUUCUUUUGCUCGAUUCAGGUCCAUCUAAUCAGCUCCACCUACACAGUGGCGGUAUAGCCAGUUCUCACACGCUUCCUAAUAGCCAUCUGCCUGUGCAAUUAAUGGCUUGUCUGCUUUUGCCGUAGCUUGGAGGAAAAGACCGAACAAGAGCUUUGAGUAUUUGCUUAAAAUAUCUGAAGUGUCCGUGUGGAUGCUCCGGGAUGGAUCGUCAGUGCUGGCGACGAACAACCCCCACUUUCCCACAUUGUAAAAAAUUACAGAGCAACUGGCCUUUUCCAUCAUGCCCUUCAAACAGGGCAGGUUUCCCACCUGCCGUGUGAAAAAUUAACAGCUGUGGCAACAUAAUAUUCCUAAAAUACUCACUUCCAAGAGCUGAACGCGAGGCUUUUGGUGUUGGUUUGAGAGGUACGAUGGCUGGCAUCCCGGCUUCCUCGCCGGCGAAGUCGGUAGGUGGGGAGAGAUGCAGAAAACAGCUCUGGAACGAAGUGCUUCCAACUGUUUAAGAACCAGAGUGGAGGUGUUUGGCAGAUCCCAGAGGUAAAUUUGGUUUGUGUCAAGAAUCAAUAUUUCCCAAGACGGCAAAUAAAGACCCGUACAAGCUUUCCCUAGCAGCUCCCAGCAGCCGAGGGGACAGGGAUGGUCAUCGAGGGAGGAUGGAGCCACCACCCACCGAGCUGCUGGUGCUCAACAGCCUUAAGUCCUGUCCCAUCUUAGCAUGGAUGCAUCGAUCUGGAGGAAGACCAGCCCGGCUCCCUGCCAGCCUCCUGUUACUCCCAUGCAUUACAAAAACAUAUGCAUUCUUUCCUCCACGGCUGUUUUUGACCCAGCUGAUGCUCUUUGGUGCCGCACUGCCUCCAAAAGUGGGGUGGCCAUGCCUGAGCACCUGGGGAGCCACGGCAGGACACCAGCACGGUGAAAUGAACCCGUAUUUGGAUUAGACAGCCUGGCUGUAAAAAUGGGCUUGAUCUUGCAUUUGAUUACCAGAGCGUUCCAAGGUACAAGGUGAGCUCAAACUAAAGUGUGCAAAAGCAAGGCGAGAAAGCGGACCUAACUGGCGACGGUGCUCGAGGGGAGGAUGCCACAUCUUGUCCCUCAGCCAUCAGCAGGUCCCUUGGGUUGAACAUAAGCUGCUUCUGUGGUAGCUGAAGGACCUUCUGCAGAACAUCGGCCCUGUGAUACUACCCUGCAAGGUGGGCAGGUGGGGAUGUGCCUGCGCAUGUAUACGCAUACGCUGGUCCCAAAAGGAGCCGGGCCAGGAACGUAGGGCUUGCUGCAAGCACCGCAUCUGUGAUACACGCAAUCUGUUUCCUUUCGUCACAUGUGACUUCAUUUUCCAGUCUCCUCCACCUCUGGGUACUGAGGCUUCAGCCAUUGCCUGUCUAACUUUGCCUACAUCUCCACAGGCUGGAUUUCGUCAUCUGCAAGGAGACCCCCCUCCUCUCCCGUUCCUGUGAAGGAGGGAAAGGGAGACAGCAUAAGCACUCUCCUGCUUAUUUAUUUGGGACAUAAUGUUGCACCCGACUGAGCUCACCUCAAGCUGGGACGUGCAGCAGCUGGAGCUCCAGAAAAAGGCGUCCUGUAACGUCAGGCAAGUGUAACCGGGAAAAGCCGCACAGGGAGAAGCUGCGCAGGAGCAGCGAAAGGCUGCGGUGAAAUCUCCCCAUCCUCCCUCGUCCCAGCUCCGGUCUUCAGACAACAAAUUUUUACCUCAAGUACAGCUGGACGCUGAAAUGAGAAGCUCAGGAAAAGCAAGACACCAGCGAGGCAAAGACGGGGAGCACCCGGCAACGGUGACACCCUGCCAUGGGCCACCCCUGGUGCGCCGACAGGCAUCUCCCACCAGCCCAAAGCCUGGCACCCACGCCCACGUUGAUGCUGCCUGCAACACCCAAUUCCCUUUUCCCACCAAGUCAGGCCCCUGGCAAGGUUCGCGGGUGCCACAGGUAGGUGAGGAGCAUCUCCUGUGGGCAAAUAUCCCGGUACCCACCGCUGUGCCCCCCCGUGGGGUGUCCCCUUCCUGACGAGUCUCAUCUGUCCCUGUCACCAAACCACUUAGGGAGCAGAGCAUGUGUCCCUCCUGCCACCCUCCCCUCCACCCAAACAGCCACUGCCGCCGCUGGGGCAAGGAAAGCCCCAGAGCUACGUGCCCAUCAGCGCCAGCCAUGCAGCGUUUUCCAGUCCCGGGUGUUAAAACCACCCACUUCACACUGAACCGUCACUGAAGGAAAUGCACAAUUUUUCCUCAGUCCAAGGAAUGGGGUCUCCUGCUUUCCACGU